AUGGCGAUGGAGGAGAGGAAGCCCGAGACCGAGGCAACGAGAGCACAGCCGACCCCUUCGUCAUCCACCACUCAGAGCAAGCCUACGCCCGUGAAGCCAAACUAUGCUCUCUAAAGUUCACCCUUGCUGGCCACACCAAAGCAGUGUCCUCCGUGAAAUUCAGCCCGAAUGGAGAGUGGCUGGCAAGUUCAUCUGCUGAUAAACUCAUUAAAAUUUGGGGGACUCAUAUGAUGGGAAAUUUGAGAAAACCGUCUGGUCACAGCCUGGUCGUCAGAUUCUAACCUUUUUGUUUCCGCCUCAGAUGACAAAACCUUGAAGAUACGGGACGUGAGCUCGGGAAAGUGUCUGAAAACCCUGAAGGGACACAGUAAUUAUGUCUUUUGCUGUAACUUCAAUCCCCAGUCCAGCCUUACUGUCUCAGGAUCCUUUGAUGAAAGUGUGAGGAUAUGGGUUGUGAAAACAGGGAAGUGCCACAAGACUGCUAGCUCACUCCGAUCCAGUCUCGGCCAUUCAUUUUAAUCGUGAUGGAUUCUUGAUAGUUUCAAGUAGCUAUGAUGGUCUCUGUCACAUCUGGGACACAGCCUCAGGCCAGUGCCUGAAAACGCUCACUGAUGAUGACAACCCCUGGUGUCUUUCGUGAAGCUCUCCCCGAAGGGUGGAUACAUCGUGGCUGCCACGCUGGGCAACACUCAAGCUCUGGGACUACAGCAAGGGGAAGUGCCUGAAGACAUACACUGGCCACAAGAACGAGAAAUACUGCAUAUUUGCUAAUUUCUCUGUUACUGGCGGGAAGUGGAUUGUGUCUGGCUCGGAGGAUAACCUUCUUUACAUCUGGAAACUUCAGACGAAAGAGAUUGUACAGAAAUUAGAAGGCCACACAGAUGUUGUGACCUCAACAGCUUGUCACCCAACAGAAAACAUCAUCACCUCUGCCGCGCUAGAAAAUGACAAAACAAUUAAACUGUGGAAGAGUGACUGUUAA
rnacentral:lncRNA from 1 species